CAGAGAAAGUAUGUUCAAAUAAAAAGGCUAAUGAAAAUGUAAAAGUAAAUUCAUGACUUAAAGAAACACAAUUAUUUUUUCAAAAAACGUGCCAUGCACUAUAACAUGUACCACCAUAGGUCGCAGCAUGUGGUACAGUGCCACGAGCUCCCUUCUCUAUGCCAUGCAUUGCGGCAUAACACACAUAAUGCACUGUAGUGCAUAUGACAACAAUUUUGCUGUCAAAUCACAAUUCACAAGAGUGAACUUUUACUGCGCGCCAAUUCUACAUCUAAUGUCCAAUUGGAAUGAUUCAAGCGUGUAACAUCCUAACUUCAUAAUCCUAUAAUUAGCUAUUAAUUAGGGGUAAAUCAAUAAUUAGUAAAUGAUUAGAGGUUUGGAUGAUUGCUUAAUGAGUUGACUUAUUGGGAAGUUAAAUGGAUAGAUAUAGGUGGAAGAACUGGUCUUAAAGCAAAGCAUGUGUUGGGGUGAGGAUUCUCCUCACCGUAUCAUGCAUUAUGGCAUGUGAUCUAGAAAAUAAACUCUUAAGUUGUGAUUUGGAUCGAUAUUCAGAGAGGAAAAAGGGAGUAAACAUAAGAAGGAGAAGAGAAGAGAUCAAAGUCUACUAGGGCAAGAUAAAUUAGGAGCUUGGAAGGAACUUUCGAUCAGUAACUUAUCAUGACAAAGCAGUAAGUCGGACAAGACAAAAGAGUCUGGACUGGCAUAAUGGUGCUGUGGCUAUGGAAACUCAUGAGUUGGUGUAAUGAAUUACCUUAAUAUGAUGUAGUAUAUAUAAGUUGCCAUAAGACAUGCAUGCAUGCUUUGAAUUGUAAAUUGUGGGAAAGUUGUGAUUUUAUGUAUCUUAGCCUAUAUAUGUAAGAAUGUGGUGAAAUAAUUAACAAGGGCUAAAAUUUAGUUAUAUAUAUACGUUGUGAAUAUGUAAAGUGGUGAUUUGUGGUAACAUUGUGGUAAAAAUGGCCAAAGAAAAGUUUUUG